UAGUCGAUGGACAACAGGUUGAUAUUCCUGUACCGAUAUUUAAUUGCCGAAGGAAGGACGCAGAAGGAUAACACAGGCCACUAUUGGAUGUGGUUUUAAACAGUUAGUCUUCAUAAGAGUCAAAUGCUUUUAUGUUUAAGGAUAAGCUGUGAAUGUACCAAGUUUACUUGGAAAUUGUGUGAUUUCACGCUGCUGAAAAAAGUUUCGUAGGAAGAAAAUAUUGCCCGUACCGCAAACCGACACAGGUACUCAAGUGGAGAACACUAAGGUGAGCGAGUGAACUAUUGUUAAGGAACUCUGCAAAAUGAGUCCGUAACUUCGGAAGAAGGACUGCUGGUUUUAUACCAGCCGCAGCAAAUAGGCCCAAACAACUGUUUAUCAAAAACACAGGUUUCUGCAAAAUCGUAAGAUGAAGUAUAGGGGCUGACGCCUGCCCAGUGCUGGAAGGUUAAAAGGAGGACUUAGCUUCGGCGAAGGUCUUAAUUGAAGCCCCAGUGAACGGCGGCCGUAACUAUAACGGUCCUAAGGUAGCGAAAUUCCUUGUCGGGUAAGUUCCGACCCGCAUGAAAGGCGUAAUGAUUUGGGCGCUGUCUCAACAAUAGACUCGGUGAAAUUUAAAUUCCAGUGAAGAUGCUGGGUACCCGCGACAGGACGGAAAGACCCCGUGGAGCUUUACUGUAGCUUGAUAUUGAAUGUUUGUGCUGCAUGUGCAGGAUAGGUAGGAGACUUUGAAGUCGGAACGCUAGUUUCGAUUGAGUCACCCUUGAGAUACUACCUCUGUUGUAUGAACGUUCUAACUCUGAUC
rnacentral:rRNA from 1 species